UCUGGGGAGCAAUCUGCCUACUUCGUUUCCUUGCGCGUGCGUUCAGGUCCUUCUUAACUCAGUCUCGGAGUUAGAGGGGACCGUGGGCCCGGAGGUUCAUAGACUAUAUGCUAAUCACUCGGUAGGCAUUUCACAUAAUGUUCGAGGAAAACAGAUAAAGGUGCAGCUUAAGCGAAAAGAAACGCGGCUUAUUGCUAGCAUUUAACAACGGAAUGUGUCUUCGAGACCAUCUGUAUUGUAUGGAUACACGUGAACUUAAAACAGCCCGCCUGUGUGCAGAGCUCUCUCUAUGUCAACUCUUUACAGGAGCUAUCGCAUUUAAGCCUCAACUUUGUGAGGAUGACGACAUCAAACCAACUGAGCCACACUGGUCAGGUCAGGAGAUGAUGAAGUAAAUUGUGGAAUAUCUACUGCACUUACUAUUAGCACCAUCACAAAGUGAUGCAUACAAAUAUGGAAAAAUGUUUAUAAAUGCAACAGCACAGUUAACUGGCAUUGAAAAAUAUUUGAUGGGAAUCAAUGAAUAAACAGAGAGAGAGAGGAUCACCUGUUGCUCUGUGACCUGAACAAAUUUGAGAAUCACUUGUGGGAGCUUGGAACACCAAUAUAACUGCUGGAAGAGGAAGCCCACCAACAAAAAAACCCACCAUCAGAUAAUAAGGAAGAAGGUGAAGAAGUGAGUGGAGGCUACCCUCACCUCCACCCCUGACUGAUGUGCAAAUACAACUAAAUGGUGGAGAAAUUACCCAGAAAAAACAACUGGACAAUAGUAAGAGAGAAACCUCAAAACUUCAAACAGACAGAGGAAACAGCAUCAACACAACCUGUCCACACCUGCACAAAAGAAUACAAGAUGUGGUGGAUGGAGUGAUUCUCAGUCAACCAGAUGGAGGUAAGGAUCCGCCAAGGAAGAACCUAAAACAAUCAAAACCUAAAGACACACAGAGAGCGAACAUAAACAGCAUCCCAAGACCAGCAAGCUCAGGAGAUUAAGGAGACUGCACUACUGAAUCUCACAGGUUUUCUACCCCAGAAGUUCACAUCAUAAACACAGGGAGUCAGGACAGAUCAGUUUAAGAAGUGGAGGCUAACAAGAAUAGUCUUAUAAACAAUGGGAAGACAAAACUAAUCCCCAUAUGAAUGGAAAGCAGGAAGCCUCAGAAAGAAUGCGAAAUGAAAUAGAGGCAAGUCAGAUAUCAGAUACAGAGUUCAAAGCAGUAGUUAUAAGGAACCUCAAUGAACUCACAGAGAAUUACCAAAAACUAGAGGGAAACUACAAUGAACUCAUUGCAAACUAUAUGAAUGUGAAAAAGGAAAUAGAAACUAUCAACAAGGGUUGAAGAAUAAAAUUCCUGAACUGAAGAACACAGUACAAGGAAUCAAAAGCAGGCUAGAUGAAACAGAGGAUUGAAUCAGUGAGCUAGAGGACAAGACAGAAAAAAACCCAAUGAGAAACAUGAAGGAAAAGAAAACAUCCUUAGAAAGAAUGAAGAGGUGGUAAAGGAAAUGUGCAACAACAUGAAAUGUAAUAAUAUCCAUAUAAUAGGGAUACCAGAAGGAGAAGAAGAAGAGCGAGGGAUAGAAAACCUGUUUGAAAAAGUAAAGAUGGAAUACUUCCCUAAUAUGAUCAAAGAAAAGGUCACACAAAUCCAGGAAACACAGAGACUCAAAUCCAAGGGAACCGAAAGAGGCUCACAUCAAGGCACAACAUAAUUAAAAUGGUAAAAUUCCAAGACAAAGAGAGAAUUUUAAAGUCAGCAAGGAGAAACAGGAAGUAAUGUACAAGGGAGCCCUGUUAAGACUAGCAGCUGACUUCUCAAUGGAAACACUCCAAGCCAGAAGAAAUUGGCAAGGUAUAUUCCAAGUAAUGAAAAAGAAAGAGCUGCAACUGAGACUACUCUAUCCAGCAAGUCUCUCAAGUAAAAUGAAAGGCCAAAUAAGGAGCUUCCCAGAAAAAAAGAACACUCAAAAGGUACGUCUCCUCCAAACCAGCUCUGCAAGCAAAGCCUAAGCAACUGCUUAAAGAACAGAAAGAAAAACAGUGAGAGAGACAGCAACACAGGUACUAAAAUAUGGCAAUGAAUAAGUACCUAUCAAAAAUAAACUUAAAAGUAAAUGGAGUAAAUGCUCCAAUCAAAGACAUAAAGUAGCUUUAUGGAGAACAAAUCAUGACCCACACAUAUGCUGCCUACAAGAGACACAUCUCCGAAAAAAGACCCACACAAAUUGAAACUGAAGGGCUGGAAACAAAUAUUCCAAGCAAAUGGACAGGAAAAAAAAACUUGGGGUUGCAAUACUCAUAUCCUACAAAAUACACUUCCAAAAAAAGUGUCAUAAAAGGAGACCCAGAAAGUCACUUCAUAAUACUCAAGGGAAGAAUCCACCAACAAGACAUAAACAUUCUACAUAUAUAUGCACCCAACAUAGGAGCACCCAAAUACAUAAGGAAAAUCUUGGAGGACUUCAAGAAAGAUACUGAGAGCAACACAAUUAUACUUGGGGAUUUUAACACACCACUGUCAAAAAUGGAUAGAUCUUCCCAACAAAAUAUCAACAAAGAUAUUGUGCCAUCGAACAAUAACCUAGAUCAAAUGGACUUAACUGAUAUAUAUAUAAAGGCUGUCAUCCCAAAGAAGCAAAAUGCACAUUUUUUACAAAUGUGCAUGGAACAUUUUCAAAGGUAGACCACAUGAUAGGACACAAAAAACCUAAACAAAUUCAAAAAAAUUAAAAACAUAUUAAGCAUUUUCUCCUACCACAAAAAACUGAAACUAGAAACCAACCUGAAGGAAAAGAAACCCAAACAUUCAAAUUCAUGGAGAUUGAAUAGCAUACUAUCAAACAAUGAAUGGCUCAAGAAUGAGAUUAAGGAAGAAAUCAAAAAGUUUCUGGAAACAAAUGAAAGUGAACUUGCAACAACCAAAAUCUUUUGGGAUACAUCAAAGACAGCCUAGAGGGGCAAAUUCAUAACAAUACAGGCCUACCUAAAAAAGAUAGAAACACUGCAAAUAAACAACCUAACCCUUCACCUUCAAGACUAGAACAACAACAAAGACAGCCCAGAGCAAGUAGAAAGGAGGGAAUAACCAAGAUCAGAGCAGAAUUAAAUGACAGAGAGAUUAGAAGCACACUUCUAAGGAUCAAUAAAUAAAUCCAGGAGAUGGUUCUUUGAAAAGAUAAUCAAAACUGUUUAUCUUUUUUGAGCCUUUAAGGAGACUCAUCAAGGAAAAAGAUAAGCCUUUAAGGAGACUUAUCAAGAAAAAAAAAAAAAGAGGACCCAAAUACACACAAUCAGAAAUGAAAGAGGAGAGAUUUCAGCUGGUACCACAGAAAUACAAAGGAUUGUAAGAAAUUACUAUGAACAACUAUAUACCAAAAGAUUUGAAAACCUAAGUGAAACGACAAAUUUCUAGAACAAUAAAAUCUUUCAAAACUGAAUGAAGAAGUAGAAAGCCUGAACAGACAAAUGACAGAUGAUGAAAUUGAAGCAGUAAUCAAAAAACUCUCAACAAAAAAAGCCCUGGACCACAUGGUUUCACAGGAGAAUUCUGAAAAGCAUUUAAGGAAGAGAUAACCCCUAUCCUCAGACUAUUUCAAAAAUUCAAGAAAAUAUAAGACUUUCAAACUCUUUAUGAAGCCAGCAUCAUCCUAAUCCCAAUACCAGAUAAAUACAUAACAAAGAAAGUAAACUUCAGGCCAAUAUUUCUGCUAAACAUAGAUGUGAAAAUCCUCAACAAAAUAUUGGCAAAGUGUAUCCAGCAAUACAUUAAAAAGAUCAUACACAAUGAUCAAGUGGGAUUCAUCCCAGGGAUGCAAGGAUGGUACCAUGUUGGCAAAUCAAUAAGCGUAAUACAUCACAUAGAUCAAAUGAAAGACAAGAAUCACAUGAUCAUAUUAUUAGAUGGGGAAAAACAUUUGAUAAGGCACAGCACCCAUUAAUGAUAAAAACAGCAGAGUGGGAAUAGAGGGAGUAUUCCUCAACAUAAUAAAAGCCAUAUAUGAGAGACCUACAGCCAACAUCAUACUCAAUGGGCAAACACUUAGAGCUUUCCCAUUAAGAUCAAUAGCAAGACAAGGAUGCCCACUUUCACCAUUCCUAUUGAACAUAGUAUUAGAAGUCCUAAAUGAAUGUGGCAAAACAGGGGAUACAAAGUCAAUACUCAGAAUCCAAAGGCAUUUUGUACAUUAACAAGGAAAUAUAAGACACAAAAAUCAGUAAAAAGAACCCCGUUCAAUAUAGCAACAAGGAAAGCAAAGUACCUAGAAAUAAACCAAACAAGGGUGUAAAAGACACGUACUCAGAGAGUUACAUAACACUGAAGAAAGAAAUUAAGGAAGACACAAACAAAUGGAAGCAUAUACCAUGUUCAUGGAUUUUAAAAAUUAACAUCAUCAGACUGUCCAUACUACCCAAAGCAAUUUAUAGAUUCAGUGCAAUCCCUAUUAAAGUACCAAUGGCAUAUUUCACAGGUAUAGAAAAAACAUUUCAGAAAUUUAUAUGGAACCAUAAACAACCCUGAAUAGCUGCAGCAAUUUUGAGAAAGAACAAUGUAGGAGGAAUCACAAUACCUGAUAUCAACCUGUAUUACAAGGCCAUUGUAAUCAAAACAGCCUGGUACUGGCAUAAAAAUAGGCACAUAGACCAAUGGAACAGAACAGAGAGCCCAGAAAUAAACCCAAGUCUCUUUUGGUCAAUUAAUAUUUGACAAAGGGGGAAGAAGCAUAAAAUGGUAUAAAAAAUAGUCUCUUCAACAAAUGGUGUUGGGGAGAUCUGGACAGCUAUGUGCAAAAAAAUGAAACUUAAUUACCAACUUACACCACACAUAAAAAUAAAUUCAAGGUUGAUAAAAGGCCUAAAUAUAAAUCAUGACACCUUAAAAGUCCUAGAGGAAAACAUCGGCAGGAAAAUCUCAGAUAUUCCACACAACAGUAUCUUCACUAUUAUUCCCUCUAAAGCAAGGGACAUAAAGGAAAGAAUAAACAAACAGGAUUUCAUCAAAAUAAAAAGCUUAUGCAUAACUAAAGAAAUCAGCAUGAAAAUGAGAAGAAAACCAACAAUAUGGGAAAACAUGUUUGCCAAUGAUACCUCAGACAAGGGUUUGAUUGCCAAAACAUACAAAGAACUUACGUGAGUCCACUCCAGGAAGACAAACAACCCAAAUGAAAACAUGAUCAAAAGACUUGAACAGGUACUUCUCCAAGGAGGAUAUACAGGCCCAGAGACAAUAAAAAUGCUUAGCAUCACUAGCCACCAGAGAGAUGCAAAUUAAAACCACAGUGAGAUACCACUUCACACUGGUCACAAUGGUCAUCAUAAACAAAUCAACAAACAAGUGUUGGAGAGGAUGUGGAGAAAAGGGAACCCUAGUGCACUGUUGGUAGGAAUGACGACUCGUGUAGCCAUUCUGGAAAGCAGUAUGGAAUUUCCUCAGAAACCUAAAAAUGGAACUGCAUUUUGAUCCAGCAGUGCCACAUCCUCUUUCAACCAUGUUGUCUGACAAGGUCCAGGCAUGGAGGAUUCGAGUUCAAGGAAUUUGUCUCCCCAGAGGAGAAUGUGGCAUCCAAAAUGGGUUAACAAUUGGCUGUUUUAUUUUAAUUAUUUUAUUCUUGCUACUGAAUAUAAACACUAUACUGUACUUAUUUAUUCCUGUGAAAAUCACCCAAGAGGAGGGAGCAGUUCAGAGGAAAACAUUAGUAUUCCCCACAUAACUGCCUGAAAGGAUGGAAAGAUCUCCACAGAUUCCCCUCCCCCUUAUACAGGGAAGUACGACAGCCAGGGUAAUAUAAUUGUUAACCAUAAGGGAAAAACAUGUUAAGGUGUAUAAAUUACCCUGGUUUGAGCAACCUAAAUCAAUCAGUACUGCCAUGGUGUACCAGAAAUAAGAAAAACAAGUUAGAUCUCUUAACUCAUCAGUUAAAGCCAGUUAACAAAGAACCAGGGUAUUGUUGCAAGCACAGGUUGUGCUGCCAACAGUUGAGAGAAUGGAAGAACAGAUUAGAAAGACUUUCCCAUGAAUGUUCCCUACCCACAGAUACAAAGGGUCUUCCAAGAAGACAAGUAUAAACUAUAUAGCCCCUACCCACAGCCCAGGGAUACGGUCGGGACAGUUGAGAUGCAUCUGCAAGGCAGAGGCAAUUGUGGCUGGAUUUCCUAUCUCUCCUUACAUGUUUGUUUUGGUGAUUAAAAGGUGCUGGGAUUGUUAGACACUUGUAUUUCAGGUUCAUUGAUUAGCAUAAUUCCAAUGAAGUCUUACAAAAUAAUUUCUUGACCAGAGAACAAAUUCCCUGUAUGUCUAAAAAUUGUUGGAGUAAUAGCCCCUCCUUUACCUUGAAUAAGAAUAUAUAUCAAUUGGACAGGCAAAGAAAUAACAAAAGCUGGCUAGUUAUUACAAAUUAAAUACGUAGAAACAGUUACUAAAGAGUCGGAGUUUAUAGUACACAGAGAAACAUUUUAGACAGAAGAGGAUAGAUAGCUAAGUUAGACAUCACAAAGGCCUUAUAAUAAAUUUCCUAUUACCUCUACUCAAUCUAGCAUAUCCUUUUACCCCAUGAGAAAUUCUGAGAAACUUUAAUAUACAAUAAGACAUUCAAAUUCUGUACAUACAGCUAUUUCCAAUUGUCUGAUUUAUGGCUCUUGUGGUCAAAAUAAUCUUUGUUUAUUAUAACUGAAUCUAUGGGAACUUUCAUAUUUUUCCUGGUUACCUUUGUAUUGAUUUUUUUCUGCUUAACUGAUCAUGCUAUACUGCAAAUGUUAAUCACUGCCUAAAAUGAAAAUAUAAAAACCUGCUUUUACUUGUAAUAAACAGAACAG